rnacentral:rRNA from 1 species
GAUGAACGCUGGCGGCGUGCUUAACAUAUGCAAGUCGAACGGAAAGGCCCUGCUUGCAGGGUACUCGAGUGGCGAACGGGUGAGUAACACGUGGGUGAUCUGCCCUGUACUUUGGGAUAAGCCUGGGAAACUGGGUCUAAUACCGAAUAUGACAAUUGUUUGGAUGCGAUUGUGGAAAGCUUUUGCGGUAUGGGAUGAGCUCGCGGCCUAUCAGCUUGUUGGUGGGGUAAUGGCCUACCAAGGCGUCGACGGGUAGCCGGCCUGAGAGGGUGUACGGCCACAUUGGGACUGAGAUACGGCCCAGACUCCUACGGGAGGCAGCAGUGGGGAAUAUUGCACAAUGGGCGCAAGCCUGAUGCAGCGACGCCGCGUGGGGGAUGACGGCCUUCGGGUUGUAAACUCCUUUCGCAACCGACGAAGCCUUUUGGUGACGGUAGGUUGAGAAGAAGCACCGGCUAACUACGUG